rnacentral:rRNA from 1 species
GAUGAACGCUGGCGGCGUGCCUAAUACAUGCAAGUCGAGCGAACAGACGAGGAGCUUGCUCCUCUGACGUUAGCGGCGGACGGGUGAGUAACACGUGGAUAACCUACCUAUAAGACUGGGAUAACUUCGGGAAACCGGAGCUAAUACCGGAUAAUAUAUUGAACCGCAUGGUUCAAUAGUGAAAGACGGUUUUGCUGUCACUUAUAGAUGGAUCCGCGCCGCAUUAGCUAGUUGGUAAGGUAACGGCUUACCAAGGCAACGAUGCGUAGCCGACCUGAGAGGGUGAUCGGCCACACUGGAACUGAGACACGGUCCAGACGCCUACGGGAGGCAGCAGUAGGGAAUCUGCCGCAAUGGGCGAAAGCCUGACGGAGCAACGCCGCGUGAGUGAUGAAGGUCUUCGGAUCGUAAAACUCUGUUAUUAGGGAAGAACAAAUGUGUAAGUAACUAUGCACGUCUUGACGGUACCUAAUCAGAAAGCCACGGCUAACUACGU